GCACGCUUUGGCAGGGCAUAUACUAAAAUCGAAAUGAUACAGAGAAGAUUAGCCUGGCCCCUGCACAAGGAUGACAUGCAAAUUCAUGAAGCAUUCCGUAUUUUU